rnacentral:tRNA from 1 species
GCGAGCAUAGCAUAAUGGCAAUGCACCGGGAGUGAUUCACCCGGCUAUGCCGGUUCGAACCCGGCUGCUUGCGCCA